UACAUACACAAUGUGUUAGAACUGAA
rnacentral:piRNA from 1 species